rnacentral:rRNA from 1 species
GCGGGACUUGNGUGCGGCCGAGGCGGGCGGAAUUCGUGGUGUAGCGGUGAAAUGCUUAGAUANNNCGAAGAACCCCGAUUGCGAAGGCAGCCCGCCAGCCCGCUACUGACGUUGAGGCUCGAAGGUGCGGGUAUCGAACAGGAUUAGAUACCCUGGUAGUCCGCACGGUAAACGAUGGACACCCGCCGUGGGCGACAUACAGUCCGCGGCCAAGCGAAAGCGUUAAGUGUCCCGCCUGGGGAGUACGCCGGCAACGGUGAAACUCAAAGGAAUUGACGGGGGCCCGCACAAGCGGAGGAACAUGUGGUUUAAUUCGAUGAUACGCGAGGAACCUUACCCGGGCUCGAACCUCCCCCGAAUCCGGCGGAGACGCCGGAGCCAGCAAUGGCGGGGGCGGAGGUGCUGCAUGGUUGUCGUCAGCUCGUGCCGUGAGGUGUCGGCUUAAGUGCCAUAACGAGCGCAACCCCUCCCUCCAGUUGCCAUCGGGUAAUGCCGGGGACUCUGGAGGCACUGCCAUCGCAAGAUGCGAGGAAGGCGGGGAUGACGUCAAAUCAGCACGGCCCUUACGUCCGGGGCUACACACGUGUUACAAUGGGGGGUACAGAGGGCCGCUGCACGGCGACGUGCGGCCAAUCCCUAAAUCCCCUCCCAGUUCGGACCGGAGUCUGGAACCCGACUCCGCGAAGCUGGAUUCGCUAGUAAUCGCGCAUCAGCCAUGGCGCGGUGAAUACGUUCCCGGGCCUUGUACACACCGCCCGUCAAGCCAUGAAAGCCGGGGGUGCCUGAAGUGCGCUUCCGCGAGGGGCGCCCUAGGGUAAAACCGGUGAUUGGGGCUAAGUCGUAACAAGGUAGCCGUAA